GUGUCAGCAGCCGCGGUAAUACGUAGGGUGCAAGCGUUAAUCGGAAUUACUGGGCGUAAAGCGUGCGUAGGCGGCUAUGUAAGACAGAUGUGAAAUCCCUGGGCUUAACCUAGGAACUGCAUUUGUGACUGCAUUGCUAGAGUGUGGUAGAGGGAGAUGGAAUUCCGCAUGUAGCAGUGAAAUGCGUAGAUAUGCGGAGGAACACCAAUGGCGAAGGCAAUCUCCUGGACCUGCACUGACGCUCAUGCACGAAAGCGUGGGGAGCAAACAGGAUUAGAUACCCUGGUAGUCC
rnacentral:rRNA from 1 species